GCCGCCUCUUCUUAUUGUUUUAUAACAUAAUUACGUUCUUGAAGAUAUCAUUGAGAUCGAUUCGUGCUUGCUUAUCUUGGUUUCUUUCUUUUAUCAGCAAUCUAAACAAGCAUGCUGACAUUAAAUCUUGAUCUCAUGCUUAGGAGUCCUCCUGAUUAUAUUUCAUAAUAACCACACUUAGAUGCGUAAACCAUAUGAAAGGAACAUAAUUCUAGAAUUCUCUUCAAUAGGCUCCAUCCACCUGCUCUUAUGUAUCAUAAGGCGUCUCCAUGUAUGAUGAUUUUUUUUUUGCUUUGUGGACGGGCUAACCUCCCAACCAUCUCCCACAUAUGGACAAAGAUC
rnacentral:lncRNA from 1 species